GAUGAACGCUGGCGGCGUGCCUAAUACAUGCAAGUCGAGCGAACAGACGAGGAGCUUGCUCCUCUGACGUUAGCGGCGGACGGGUGAGUAACACGUGGAUAACCUACCUAUAAGACUGGGAUAAAUUCGGGAAACCGGAGCUAAUACCGGAUAAUAUAUUUAACCGCAUGGUUCAAUAGUGAAAGACGGUUUUGCUGUCACUUAUAGAUGGAUCCGCGCCGCAUUAGCUAGUUGGUAAGGUAACGGCUUACCAAGGCAACGAUGCGUAGCCGACCUGAGAGGGUGAUCGGCCACACUGGAACUGAGACACGGUCCAGACUCCUACGGGAGGCAGCAGUAGGGAAUCUUCCGCAAUGGGCGAAAGCCUGACGGAGCAACGCCGCGUGAGUGAUGAAGGUCUUCGGAUCGUAAAACUCUGUUAUUAGGGAAGAACAAAUGUGUAAGUAACUAUGCACGUCUUGACGGUACCUAAUCAGAAAGCCACGGCUAACUACGUG
rnacentral:rRNA from 1 species